rnacentral:rRNA from 1 species
AUUAUACGGCGAAACUGCGAAUGGCUCAUUAAAUCAGUUAUCGUUUACUUGAUAGACCCAUACUACUUGGAUAACCGUGGUAAUUCUAGAGCUAAUACAUGCGAAAAACCGCGACUUCGGAAGCGGUGUAUUUAUUAGAUUAAAGACCAAUGCCCUUCGGGGCUGACUGGUGAUUCAUGAUAACUUCACGAAUCGCACGGCCUUGCGCCGGCGAUGGCUCAUUCAAAUUUCUGCCCUAUCAACUUUCGACUUUAGUGUAGUGGACUAAAGUGGUUGCAACGGGUAACGGAGGGUUAGGGCUCGACCCCGGAGAAGGAGCCUGAGAGACGGCUACUACAUCCAAGGAAGGCAGCAGGCGCGCAAAUUACCCAAUCCCGACUCGGGGAGGUAGUGACAAUAAAUACUGAUACAGGGCUCUUUUGGGUCUUGUAAUUGGAAUGAGUACAAUUUAAAUCUCUUAACGAGGAACAAUUGGAGGGCAAGUCUGGUGCCAGCAGCCGCGGUAAUUCCAGCUCCAAUAGCGUAUAUUAAAGUUGUUGUGGUUAAAAAGCUCGUAGUUGAACCUGGGCCUCGCGCAGACCGGUCCGCCUCACCGCGUGCACUGGUCCUGCCGGGGCUUUCACUAGGGGAUUCGCAUGUCCUUCACUGGGCGUGUGCGGAACCUGGACUUUUACUGUGAAAAAAUUAGAGUGUUCAAAGCAGGCCUAUGCUCGAAUACAUUAGCAUGGAAUAAUAGAAUAGGACGUGUGGUUCUAUUUUGUUGGUUAUGGGACCGCCGUAAUGAUUAAUAGGGACAGUCGGGGGCAUCAGUAUUCAAUAGUCAGAGGUGAAAUUCUUGGAUUUAUUGAAGACUAACUACUGCGAAAGCAUUUGCCAAGGAUGUUUUCAUUAAUCAGGAACGAAAGUUAGGGGAUCGAAGACGAUCAGAUACCGUCGUAGUCUUAACCAUAAACUAUGCCGACUAGGGAUCGGGCGAUGUUACUUUUUGACUCGCUCGGCACCUUACGAGAAAUCAAAGUCUGUGGGUUCCUGGGGGAGUAUGGUGGCAACGCUGAAACUUAAAGAAAUUGACGGAAGGGC